ACUUUGUUAUGUGAAGCUGAAGCUGUUGCUAAUUGCCAUCGAAUACAAGUCGGAGCAGAGAGAGAGCAGAAGCCGAAAGCGCAUCCUCAUCAACCCAGGAAACCACGUCAAACUACAGGAAGGAACUCUGGGGUUCUUUAUUGCUAGCGAUGCCAAAGAAGUAAAGAGGGCAUUUUUCUACUGCAAAGCUUGCCAUGACGACAUCACUGACGCUAAACGAAUCAAAAAAUGUGGCUGCAAACGACGUGAG